UGGGAUGUUGCCCUGGGUCAACUCCGGUACUUUGUUGGGAGCCCAGUAAAGUCAGGGAUUUGGAGCAGUAACUAAGGGCAUCCUAGCAUCGGGCUAAACAAUGCUGGCCUGAUGGCCUUGGGAGGGACAGCAGGCGAAGGCCACUGCUCUUGAUUUGUUCUUGGACAAGCCCUGGUGGCUUGUGAGCGGCUGGGGAAUCAGAGACCCGCCACCUGUGCACUGUCCGCUCUGCCCUGGAAGGUCCCUACCUUAUUCUUACUGAAGUUGUCAUGUGCUUGAAUCCUCUGCUCAUUGUCAUUGACCCAGUUCAUUUUUCCUCUAGAUUGCUGACUAUCGCUAGUUGAAUCCUGAAAGCCUUUUUCACACUGUAUGAUUGAGUUUUGUUUGGGGAAGCUGUGUAGUCAAACUUGAAGGAUACAAUUACAGCUUCCUAACGAACACGGUGUACAGCUGAGGAUCUCCUGAACUCUUACGGAUUAAAUGGACAUUCAAGGACCUGCACAUUUGGUCCCAGCAUCCUCCCAGUUCACCCCGUAGGCCACCCACAUGGACUCAUUGUCCUCAUUUUUGUGUUACAACUUUCGCACAUGCUACUUCCUUUGCCUGGAAAGACUUCUUUCUGAUUCAACUUGCCUGGAAAAGCCCAACCAUCCUUUAAGAAUCAGCUCAAAGGUCACCUCCUCUAUGAAGGCUCUCCUGUAUACUCAGUCAUUCACCCACACAUGCUUAUUGAGUACUGUUGUGCUCUUCAGCCAAGACUACCAUGAACCUGCCAGCAAUGAAACAAGGUAGGAGAUGCCUCCAUGGGGGCAUCUCCGUAACAGUGUUACACAGAACUUAUUAUAAGAUGUGGAUUUUGGUUUGGUGAUUUGGGGAGGAUCUAAGAAAUCAAGAAUUUGCUGUAGAUUGGAAACCACCAGAGAACAAGGGCAAUUCUAUGAUUGGGUUUUAUGGGUGGCACAGUGACCUUGUUUUUGUCUUUGCAGAGACAAAAUUAUGCAGUGACCUUGUUUUGUUUCACUUUAUCAUGGUUCAGAGUAAGUUUAUCUGAGGUUGGUGUUCUGUAAGACUGUUUAUGUCCAACAAAAGAAUAAAAUGGCCUGGCUAUGAGAGCUUGUAA